rnacentral:rRNA from 1 species
UGGGGAAUAUUGCACAAUGGGCGCAAGCCUGAUGCAGCCAUGCCGCGUGUAUGAAGAAGGCCUUCGGGUUGUAAAGUACUUUCAGUCGGGAGGAAGGUGGUAAGGUUAAUAACCUUAUCAAUUGACGUUACCGACAGAAGAAGCACCGGCUAACUCCGUGCCAGCAGCCGCGGUAAUACGGAGGGUGCAAGCGUUAAUCGGAAUUACUGGGCGUAAAGCGCACGCAGGCGGUUGAUUGAGUCAGAUGUGAAAUCCCCGGGCUUAACCCGGGAAUUGCAUCUGAUACUGGUCAGCUAGAGUCUUGGAGAGGGGGGUAGAAUUCCAUGUGUAGCGGUGAAAUGCGUAGAGAUGGGGAGGAAUACCGGUGGCGAAGGCGGCCCCCUGGACAAAGACUGACGCUCAGGUGCGAAAGCGUGGGGAGCAAACAGG